UUAAUGAAAAACUUUGGAAUGUUUAAUCAGGGGUGGUGGCAAGCCCCUUAUAAAGCAGAAAAUACAUCAUAUGCUAAACAUGAGAUAACAGAGAAUGCAUCUUUAUUGGUCAAGUAUUGUCUUUUCUAAUACACUUCCUCCAAAAUGUGAUGUCACCAUUUCUUUCGAUAACAGUCCCCCCUUAAAAUGAUUAUUUACUAAAAAAAAAGCCAUAUCUAGCAGCAAAAGCUAUCCCUAUAACAUGGGUCACUGCCCCCUCUUGAUUUUUCAGCUUGUUCGUGUAAGAUUGAAAAUACAGUGCAAUACCGGCGCCGGCCAGUAGGUGUAGGCGCUGUGUGUAUGGAGAGAGAGAGACAGGGAUAGGAAGCUACAUAUUAUCCCAGUUUCUCUCUCCUGACUGAAUCCGCAGGGGAGCAACACAUACAGCCAGAGAGCCUACAGAUCAGGUAAGUGAGCCAAUGGGCAGAGAGAGCCUAUAGAUCAGGUAAGUGAGGCAGGGGGGAGCAGAGAGCCUAUAGCUCAGGGAAGUGAGGCGUGGGGGAGCAGAGAGCCUAUAGAUCAGGGAAGUGAGGCAUUGGGGGGGACAGAGAUGGCCUACAGAUCAGGGAAGUGAGGCAUGGGGAGGCAGCCUACAGGAAGGGUCAGCAAGGAGAAGAAAGGUAAAGUAAGAGAAGGAAUAGAAAUGAGCAGAAAGGGACAGCAAGGAGCACAACAGGUAAAGUAGGAGAAGGAGCACAAAGGAACACAAAUGAGCAUGAAGGGGCUGGAAGGUAAAGCAGCACAAAUGUAAAGUAGAAGGAGCAGAAAGCGUCAGCAAGGAGCUGAAAAUGGCAGGAAGGGACAGAAGGAGCGCAAAGGUGAAGUAGGAGAAGGAACAGGAAGGGGCAGCAAGGAGUAGGAAGGGUCUGAAAAGAGCACAAAGGUAAAGGAACAGGAAGAAGCAGAAGGAGCACAAAGGUAAUGUUGGAGAAGGAACAGAAAAGGGUAGCAAGGACCAGAAAGGGAUCAGAAAGAGGAAGGGGGGAGUAAAAUAAGCAGAAAGUAACAGAAAGGUAAAUGAGCAGGAGUUAAGGAGGAGAGAAGACAGUGUCAGAAGAAAAAGAAGACUUUGUCAAAUAAAAGAGAAGAAAAGGAGAUUGGAGCAGGAAGGACAAAUGAAGUGAACCCUCCACUUUAUUCUGGACACCACAUCAUAAGACUUUGGUACCUGGGCCUGGCAGGGAAACUUUGGACCUCCUCAUCUCCCCAGGUAAAAAAAAUAUCAGUGUUAAUGUGUUCACUUUUAUUUACUGAGUGUCAGGAAGCAUAGAGUGCCGCUGGGGAGGGGUGUCGCUGAUUGGCUAGAGCGGUCAACUGGCACUCUAAGUCAAUCAGUAGCUCCCUAUUCAUAAAAAAGUCAAACAUUUUUAUGAACUGGGAACUAGUGAUUGGCAUAGAGCAUCAACUGACCACUCUAGUCAAUCUGUAGCACCCAUGCCUGAUGUCAAUCUGAACUUCCUGACACUCGGUUUCAGAAGCCGAAUACCACUGAGCGACCUGGAAAUCUGGAGCUGGAUGAAGUCUUUGGGGUUAAACCAUUUGAGAGCAGUUUAACCCCUUAAAGGAAAGAGAGCACCCAGGGGCUUCCUGGCAUCAUAGCAUUUUCAUUUAGAUGAAGUUGUUGUGGUGACCAGAAUGUUCCUUUAAUUUGCUUAAAGGAACAAUAUAGUGUCAGGAAUACAAACAUGUACUCCUGACAGCAUAGUUGUGAAAACCCUAUUCACCCUGGCUUUAUGUGAUAAUGACUAUGCUCCUCCCCUUCAUGACACUGUCAAAAAGGGACCAAGCAUGGAUGUCAUUACAAUUAUGCCCCCCCUGGAAAAAUUCCUGCGGACACCCAUGCCCUAUAAGCUGUCCCUAGUAACCUACAGCACAUCUGUCCAACAGGCCUUGGAACACUUUUGGUGCUGCACAUAAGACAAGCAGUGGCUUGUCCACCACCCCCCUCGCUACAGACUUUGCCCGUAAAGACAGACGCUAACCCUAUGGUCCCUAAAAUAAUGUAGCUUUGGUAUUAGUGGGGGGGACUGCAACGGGGCAUAGGGCUUGUCAUAGUCCAUCUCAUUCAUCUCCUGAUGAAUGAAAGUCGGUGUAGCCUGAUCUGCUGUUUUCUCUAAACACUUCUUAUUUCAGGGAAGAACACAACAAACAAUAAGAGCAAGGAUGAUCAACAUUAUCAGGACCACCACACCUAUUUGAGCCAGAACUUUUUGCCAACCAGAUAUCCACCCAAACCAUCUUUCCCAUGGGUCAGUGACUCCAGAGUUCCUUUUCAAUUCUUCUGAGAGACUCUCUAAUUUCUCUUUUGCCAGAGUUACCUUGCCAUUUGGGCCUGUGUUGUCUGGAAUGUAGGUGCAACAUGUCAUAGUGUCAAGGAGUAUUUUACAUACCCCCCUUUUUCCGCUAGGAUCAUAUCUAAGGCCAUUCUAUUCUGGAAAGUCACCUGGGAUGUGGCAUGAAGUUGCUCUGCCACCCCUGGAGGGCAUCUCUUGUAUAGUUUACAAACCGUUGUUGGUUAUAAUAUAUAUAAUUAAUCCAAUUCAAAUUCUUAUUGGCCAUGAUGAUAGGGAGCAUGGAUUCAAACCCUGCUGCAACUUCAUCUCUUGCCUUGAAUUCAUUAGGCACCCCCCUUGGCACUCCAAUGGAAUCUAUAUAUACAUGGGGGGCGAAACUGCCAUUUACAGGAGUGCCUCUUCUGGUUCUGAUGUGUGAGUGUGACUUGUCAUGUGCAACUUGGUGGCUGUCAGAUAUAAUGUGUAUUGGCAUAAUAACUUUGGCCAGGGUGCACCCCCCCACCAUAAAUUUUCCAGCCUUGACCUAAGCUGCAUAUCCACACAUAACCAAUACAUGUCCCCCAGGGAUUUGACAUGUUUUUAUAGUAGGGCAAGUGGAUCUGUGCUAUAGGUGGCCCACUUUUUACCAGUGAAAUUACUCAAGGACCGGCCUUUUCCACCAUACAGUUGCAAGAAAAAGUAUGUGAACCCUUUGGAAUGAUAUGGAUUUCUGCACAAAUUGGUCAUAAAAUGUGAUCUGAUCAUCAUCUAAGUCACAACAAUAGACAAUCACAGUCUGCUUAAACUAAUAACACACAAAGAAUCAAAUGUUGCCAUGUUUUUACUGAACACACCAUGUAAACAUUCACAGUGCAGGUGGAAAAAGUAUGUGAACCCUUGGAUUUAAUAAUUGGUUGAACCUCCUUUAGCAGCAAUAACUUCAACCAAAUGUUUUCUGUAGUUGCAGAUCAGACGUGCACAACGGUCAGGAGUAAUUCUUGACCAUUCCUCUUUACAGAACUAUUUCAGUUCAGCAAUAUUCUUGGGAUGUCUGGUGUGAAUCCCCUUCUUGAGGUAAUGCCACAGCAUCUCAAUCGGGUUGAGGUCAGGACUCUGACUGGGCCACUGCAGAAGGCGUAUUUUCUUCUGUUUAAGCCAUUCUGUUGUUGAUUUACUUCUAUGCUUUGGGUCAUUGUCCUGUUGCAACACCCAUCUUCUGUUGAGCUUCAGCUGGUAGACAGAUGGCCUUAAGUUCUCCUGCAAAAUGUCUUGAUAAACUUGGGAAUUCAUUUUUCCUUCGAUGAUAGCAGUCCGUCCAGGCCCUGACGCAAUAAAGCAGCCCCAAACCAUGAUGCCCCCACCACCAUACUGCACAGUUGGGAUGAGAUUUUGAUGUUGGUGUGCUGUGCCUUUUUUUCGCCACACAUAGUGUUGUGUGUUUCUUCCAAACAACUCAACUUUGGUUUCAUCUGUCCACAGAAUAUUUUGCCAGUACUGCUGUGGAACAUCCAGGUGCUCUUGCGCAAACUGUAAACGUGCAGCAAUGUUUUGUUUGGACAGCAGUGGCUUCCUCUGUGGUAUCCUCCCAUGAAAUCCAUUCUUGUUUAGUGUUUUAUGUAUUGUAGAUUCGCUAACAGGGAUGUUGGCAUUUGCCAGUGACUUUUGUAAGUCUUUAGCUGACACUCUAGCAUUCUUCUUCAACUCAUUGAGCAGUCUGCGCUGUGCUCUUGCAGUCAUCUUUACAGGAUGGCCACUCCUAGGGAGAGUAGCAGCAAUCUAAUCUCAUUGAUAGGACUCCAGUUGGCUGACAUCUCACUCCAAUUAGCUCUUGGAGAUGUCAUUAGUCUAGGGGUUCACAUACUUUUUCCACCUGCACUCUGAAUGUUUACAUGGUGUGUUCAAUAAAAACAUGCCAACAUUUCAUUCUUUGUGUGUUAUUAGUUUAAGCAGACGGUGA
rnacentral:lncRNA from 1 species